CUGUGUAAUGUUCAGAAUCCCCAAUCCUGUCAUAUAUCUGAAGCUAAGCGAGGCCGGGCCUGGUUAGUACUUGGAUGGGACACCACUGGGAAUACCAGGUGCCACAGU
rnacentral:rRNA from 1 species